rnacentral:lncRNA from 1 species
CCUGCACCCGGGAGGAAAGGCGAGGCUCUGCAUCUAGAUUUACCUCGUUCUCUUUUGUCUCCGCUUUUUUUUCACAUUUCCUUGCGACCCUGGCCCUUGAGCGACAAAAAGGGGAAGCCAAGGCUGGCCCGAGGAACGGAGAGGGCACAUGGCCUAGCCACAAGUGGAGCUUCUGCUCCGCCCGAAGGGAUGCGCUGGAGCGGCCUCUUCCUUCUGCCACGGUCUUUCUUUGCCAACUAGUAGGCUCCGGCAUGACGGGUGACUUCUUCCGAGUCUGGCUUCUGCAGCACACAGGGCUUCGCCAGCACCCAGCUCCUGCAGCAUGGGCAGCUCCUGUGACAGCAGGCGCCCGCAGCCUGCAAAGCGUCUCCAGUGCCGCCGCCUCAGUGAACCUCAACCAGCGGCACCUAGCAGCUUUCUCUGCCACCCUCUUCAGGUCUGGAUCUAAGCCCAGGGACCAGGAAACCUCUUGCUUGAGUGCUGGAACUCAGGCCAGAAGGCAGGAAGCCCGCCUGACCCCAUGUCUCAGGCUGCCAGAGGAGCGUGCGAUGAGGAAGGCUGGACUGUCUUCACAGGACACCAGGGAGAAGCCUCAAGCCACUGCCCCCUGACAAGUCGCAGCUCUCCAGCCUGUCUCCUCACUCCCCUCCCCUCCACAUGGGGGGGUUGGGGUGGGGGCGGGGAAGGUUCGGGGCAGGGGUCAUUUCAGCUACUGGGCACCAGUCUCCUCCUCAUGUUUAUCCUGUUCCCUUUGCUUGAAAGGUUCGUACUCCAGAUCCUUGUAAAACCGCUUCUCACCCUUUGAGUCUCAGCUUAAAUGUCCCCUCCUUGGAGGGGUCUUCCCUGACAAUGAAGCUCCGACCGUC